ACAGCAGUGACGGAAACAAAUGCCUACUACAUAGUAAUUAAUGGAAGAAAGGAGAAAUACGCAACAAGGUGGAGUGUAGAAAGGAGUAACAAGGGGUAGCUUCGUGAGCGUCUCCAAGAAAAAGGACACUGGUCAUCAGCAACUUGAGAAAAGGACUGAAGAAAGAGUGAGACCUCUUCCUGUGGGUCAUUCAACAACCUUGGCUGACAGAAGAAAGAGGAGGUGAGCAAGUGAAAGAGGUCUAUACUGGAAAAGGGGAGAAAGUUAAAGAG